rnacentral:lncRNA from 1 species
CCGCCCUCCCUCCCUCGCGCUCUCUCUCGCGCUCGCUCGCUCGCUCCAGUAUGUAAAUGUGUAAUAGAAGCCAAAUAUGGAGCAGUUGGCUGCCGCCGCCACAGCUCAAGGAUCCGACUUCAUGGGGGGGGGGGGGCACCCUCUGGCAGGCGGCCCGGCGAGCCGCACAGAGCACGGCGAGCGCACGGCGCGGCUGCCGGCCCGCGCCCUUAACCCUUCUGUGCACCCGGCCGGAGCAGCGGUCCCUCCCUCCAGGGGAGGCCCGGUGCCUCUCCCUAACUGCGGCUCCGGAUCCCGGACAUCGGCCCGUGGGGACUGUGCCUUCCAGAGUUCAACAGUCUUGGUUAGAGAAGGAGGAGGAAGACAAUGAUGACAGUGAGGAGGACAAGGAGGAGAAAGAAAGUCCUGCAAUUUCAGAGAGUCCAGCUCUCUGAAGUCGGAAGGAAAUGCAAAGACCCUAUUUGUGGCUGCAGGAGAGGAAAAGAGUCCCGCAAGGAAACUACCAACAGAUGAGGGAGCUGGGAAUCUGGUUCCAUACGUCAUUGCACUUUCCACGAAAUCAUGAGGCCCUGAGUUCACAUCCACAGAACUCACAUAAAUACUGGAUCCAUAUGCAAUACCAUCUUCUGUAGUUGGUUGUUUUUUAUUCUUUAUUCUUUUGGGGGCCCGGCCACCAGCUCCCAAAUAAAUCAUGCACACAGAGGCUUAUUCUUACUUAUGAAUGCCCAGCCUUAGCUUGACUUAUUUCUAGUCAGCUUUUCUUAACUUAUAUUAUCCCACCUAUCUUUUGCCUCUGGGCUCUUACCUUUCUCUAUUUGUGUAUAUCUGUUCUUUCCUUCAUAUCCCGUUGCUAGCUGUGUUGCUGGGUAGCUGACCUCUUCUUUUCUGGCUCUCCCUCUUCUAGAUCUCCCUCUCCCCAGAUGUCUCCUCCUAUUUACUCUCUCUGCCUGCCAGCCCCUCCUAUCCUUUCUCCUGCCUUGUAACUGGCUGUUCAGCUCUUUAUAGGACCAAUCAAGUGUUUGAGACAAAGCAACACAGCUUCACAGAGUUAAACAAAUGCAACAUACAAGACUGCAACACAACUUCCCAUCAUUAAACAAAUGUUCCACCGCAUAAACAAAUGUAACACAUCUUAAAUAAUAUUCCACAACAAUCUUCACACUCCUGUGGGGAAAUGGAAGGCAG